GACGAACGCUGGCGGCGUGGAUUAGGCAUGCAAGUCGAACGGUAUUUAUUCCUUCGGGGAUAAAGAGAGUGGCGAACGGGUGAGUAACGCGUAGGUAAUCUACCUUCAAGUGGGGGACAACCCAGGGAAACUUGGGCUAAUACCGCAUGUGGCAGUAAUGCUAAAGCCGGCCUCUGAAAAUGCUGGCGCUUGGAGCUGAGCCUGCGUCUGAUUAGCUAGACGGUGAGGUAAUGGCUUACCGUGGCGAUGAUAAGUAGGCGGCUUUAACGAGUGGUCGCCCACACUGGGAUUGAGAUACGGCCCAGACUCCUACGGGUGGCUG
rnacentral:rRNA from 1 species